rnacentral:rRNA from 1 species
UGGGGAAUCUUGCGCAAUGGGCGAAAGCCUGACGCAGCAACGCCGCGUGGGGGAUGAAGGCCUUCGGGUUGUAAACCCCUUUCAGCAGGAACGAAUCUGACGGUACCUGCAGAAGAAGGUCCGGCCAACUACGUGCCAGCAGCCGCGGUAACACGUAGGGACCAAGCGUUGUCCGGAUUUAUUGGGCGUAAAGAGCUCGUAGGCGGUUUGGUAAGUCGGGUGUGAAACCUCCAGGCUCAACCUGGUGACGCCACCCGAUACUGCUAUGACUUGAGUUCGGUAGGGGAGCGGGGAAUUCCUGGUGUAGCGGUGAAAUGCGCAGAUAUCAGGAGGAACACCGGUGGCGAAGGCGCCGCUCUGGGCCGAAACUGACGCUGAGGAGCGAAAGCGUGGGGAGCAAA